ensembl:lncRNA
GGUUUCAGAUCAGAUCUCUGAAGCGGGAGGGGCAAGUUUUAACAUUAGAUUUAGCAUUAAAGCAGAGAGUGAACUCUGACCCCGCCGAGCUGCUGCUGGUGUUGAUGAAGAUGAAGAUGAAGAUGAUGUUGCUCUUCCUGUCUGUCCUGCUCUUCCUCUCUCAGUUCUCUGCCACUUUUCCUCUUAAAGUAAAUCUGACAUGUGUCUGUUUGUGUGAGUGUCGGCGUGUCGUUCAGCUCAACAUCAACGAUUCAGCGAUUGAGGUGAAGGAGAGCGAGCGAGAGAUGCUGGAGGACGAGUGUGUGAAGCUGGUGAAGGAUCUCAGCACGAAGAAGGAAUCAGGAGACUUGUCUGUGUUGUCUGUUGCGACUCCGCUCGUAGGAGCUUCGGUCUUCAUCACUCUUCUUCUGCUCAGCUUCGCAAUGUUUAAAAGACAAGAGUCUCAGGCUGGAGGUGUUUUAGGCUCUCUUAUUCAUUAUCCAGCUCACUCUCUGGAGAGGACGACGAAUCCGGGAGCAUUUCUACCUCCAGAGACUAAAUUCCCC